AAAAAAAUUCAGCUGGUUUUUUCAUUAACGGACUGGCCAGUGGUCUGUUGUCUUGUAUUCUUGUCUAUGAGUAGUCUUAGUUGAUAUGAUCUAUGGUUUCCCGUGUUCCUGGAAACUGGAACUAGAAGCUAGAAAAGAUUGCGGUUAAACAGAAACAAGAGCACUUCAGAGGGGCCGCGAUGGCUACACACUUCAUCACCUUCCUAGGUGGGAUCAUCUUAGGUAUCUGACGUUUGAAUCCUAAGAUGGUGGUGGCGAAAGCUUGGAAAAACAGUUGGGACAGGGCAAAUCUGUGGUUCCCCAGCAAAGCUCUACCUAAUGGCUCCAUCCAUAGUCCUUGCUCGACCUGUUUGGUAGUUUCAUGACUUGCUCAGCCAGAGGUUAAGUCUCAACUGUCCCCCUACCCAGAGACAAGAUAAAGGACCCAUUCCUUAUUUGCAGUGGUAGACUUGGAGUGUAUUGAGUUGUGAAGUUACCAAAGCAGGAUAUCCCCCACACGGACCUGCUCAAACAACAGAAAUUCAUUUUUUUCCCCCUCAUGACCCUGGAAGAUCUGAGUCCAAGGUCCAGGGCUGGCAGGGCUGGUGUUUUAGGAAAAUUCUUCAUGGCUGCGGUAGCUGGCAUCUCAUGGUGUCAUGGUGUCCUUACAUGGCCUCUCUCCGUGAUCACACUCUUGAUAAUUGCUUCCUCCUCUGGGAAGUUCUCAUGACCUGUAGCAUUGCAAGGUCACCCCCUUUAUGAUUUCAUUUCCUCAUCAUUGUGUCUUCCAAGACCCUUCCCACCACAGCCAUAUAGAGGUUAAGGUCCCAACCUGUGAAACUGGCGAAUUCUGGGACACAAUUGUCUCCAUUGCACAAAUGUUUGUGUGUACUUGUGUGUACAUCUCUUUAUUUAUUUAAUUUUAUUUAUACAAGUACACUGUAGCUGUCUUUAGACACACCAGAAAAGGGCAUCAGAUCCCAUUACAGAUGGUUGUGAGCCAUCAUGUGGUUGCUGGGACUUGAACUCAGGACCUCUGGAAGAGUAGUCAGUGCUCUUAACCACUGAGCCACCUCUCCAGCCCAAACAUCUCUUUAAUAAGAGCAAAUGAGACCCUCACUCCCUCUCCAUGUGUCUCCUACCAACCUGUGGAGCUCAUUUCUAAUUGAUUCAAUGCUUAAUUGUGUGUUCAAAUAGUCCCACAUUUGGUCAAUCUUUUGAGAUGUUUUAUGUCUCCAUAGUGUCUUUGCUAGCUCCCUGGCUUUUUGGCACCCGCUACCCACACUGCCCCCUGUGCCUCCCCCACCCCAGAGCCAAAGGAAUGACAUCUCUUCAGGGCUGGGCUACAAUCUGGAGACAUACAGACUCCUGUGCUCAGCAGGUCAGUAGAACCAGGGCUUCCUAUAAUCACAGCUGAUGUUAGCAUUCCCACUUUUGAUUUAAGGAGGAGCCCGUUCUCUUUCGCCUUGGCUUUGUGUUUAUAGCUUGUCUCUUACCCUUUAACUCUUGUUUGUGUUUAGGUUUGCUUGUUUUCUUCUGUGUGUAUUGUGAUGGUUUCUAUGCUUGGCCCAGGGAAUGGCACUAUUAGGAGGUGUGGCUUUGUUGAAGUAAGUGUGUCACUGUGGGUGUAGACUUUAAGACCCUCCUCCUAGCUGCCUGGAAGCCAGUAUUCUGCUAACAGCCUUCGGAUGAAGAUGUAGAACUCUCAGCUCCUCCUGCACCAUGCCUGCCUGGAUGCUGCUAUGUUCCUGCCUUGAUGAUAAUGGACUGAACCUCUGAACCUGUCCCAUUGAAUCAACUGGAGCAUUUUGGCAACAACUUACCAUCUUAAUGUUUUUAGAAUCUUGGCCAAUCCCCUGGUUUCAUUGGAACAUGGUGUUAAUGAAAGAAAGAUUGCAGUUUGCACAGCCA